rnacentral:tRNA from 1 species
UGCUCGGUAGUGCAAUGGUAGAACGCUUGACUGUUAAUCAAGAUGUUGCAGGUUCGAGUCCUGCCCGGGCAGC